GUCUAUGUGCUGGGGUUUGUAUAUGUUCCUGUGGGCCUAAUGGACAUCUGUUUUUGCAGUCUCUUUCGCAUAUCAUGGAUGCAUCAAUGGAAGACCUGGCUCGUUGCCCUGGCAUCGGAGAGCGCAAGGUAUUCUGUUCGUCUCCAAAGAGAGACGUGUCAUUUGAUGGAAUUUUGUCCUUGUAUUGUGUGAUACACUUCUGUAUGCUAUCAACUGACUGAUUGUGAAUAAAUUUAUGGCAAUUUUUAGUGUCUUUAUUUAAAGGGUUCUAUGUUUUGCAUAUUAUUAAACCUACCUACUUUUUCAUUUUGUUCCCCGAUCAGGUUAAACGCUUGUAUGACACUUUUCACGAGCCAUUUAAGCGUGUAGUUUCCAGUCACCCUCCUAUUCCGGAAACUCCUUCCCAGAAGGAUGUUGAACGUUCCUCUGUGAAUGAAGUAACAGAAGUGGAGAAAGACACAGAAGACGUAAACAAACGUAGGAAGAAAGAAACUGAAUCAACUGUGAAGUCAGCCCUAUCUGCUGCAUUUGCCAAGUAUGCUGAUAAAAUUGGUAAGAAGAAAAACCGUUCAUCUCAGGUAGGGGAAACAAGUGUUUCCAAUUCAGGCACUGAAAAUAGCAAUUCCGGUCAACCGGACAGCUAAGUGAUCGUUUUUUUUUUCCUCCAAAAAUUCACAAUAACCUUAAAAGCAAGUAACUAAAAGGAGAAUUGCUGAGAAUGUAUAAUGCAUACUUGUGAAAGAAGCAUGGCAGCAGAACUAACACAUUCAUUAACAAUGCAUAUCUACUGGCUUCUCCAUCCUCCCUAUUUAGAUGAUGUUGAUGGAGGCAGGCAGGAAAUUCUUUAGCAAAUUCUGUGCACCUAGUAAAAUUUUGUACUUUGUAGGGUUGAGAAAAGCUGCACGGCCGUAAGUGCAAAACCUUAAUUUAUAUGUAUGUAUAAAUUUUUAUAGUUUUAGCUGUUACAAUAUCACUGGAUUCUCUGAAGCUGCAAAGUUUAACCCAUUGUUUGGAUUAUGGUGAAGAUUUGUGUGAAUUAGAAUUUGCCACAUCAUAGUAAUCAAUCACAAGUUUCCCAUCUUUCCAGAAAGCUUCACAUAAUUGCAUUUUGAUUCUGUUCUUAUCCUGAAUAUGAAUGAAAGUGAUGGGCUAGCUACAGCAUUGAAAUUUGCUGGAAUCGCGACAACUUACUGCUAUUGCCAUAUAAUCUUUCUAGUACAACAGACGUUUGUAAUUUUCUAUUCUUUUCUUCUUUUUCCUCUUUUUCUUUUAACAUUUUCUUUUUCCUUUUCACAUUUUGGACUUGCAUGUUUCUUUUACUUUCUCCAGCAUUUUCCAGUGUCAUUUUCUUUUCCUGGUGUAUAUACUGUCUGCAUGUGGAAAAAGAAAAAGUUAUUUUCACUGCAAAUUUCACGAAAAAAGGAACAUACAAGUGCUUGUUAACAUAACAUAUGACAAGAUUCUUUUCUGAGGAUUCGUUCUGUCAAAGUUUGAGCCAAUAAGAUAGUGAUGAUCCAAUAGGACUGAUGGUUGCCUCUUUGUUUUCUUUUUCAUAUGCAGAUCGUGAACAAUAUUUGAUUCUGAAUUUUGCGUCGCAAGUAGACAAGCUAGAAAGUUACUUUUGCAUAAUUAACCCCAUCGUUGGUACAAAAAAUAUCCAAAUAACAAAUCCAUCCAUAUAUAAAUAGAACCUAUGCGAAGUGUAUCAUGAUUUAUAAAUGAAUAUGUAUGGCGAGCUAUAUCACUGAAUUUGUAGUGAUAGAUACUAAUAGAUAUUAAUCAUAUGCUCCUCUCAAUGCUCUAACGCCCACACCGGAUAUGGACCGAACUGUCUCACGACGUACCGCUUUAAUGGGCGAACAGCCCAACCCUUGGAACAUACUACAGCCCCAGGUUCAUAUGCACUGAUGGAAUUCUGUAUUAGGUUUUUCAGUAAUAUUAACGGUUCAUUUAGGAUUUAGGAUUGAGACGUGGCUUUUGAGCCAUAGUUGCCAUGAAAUAGAAUGAAAAGAUGACGACAAAGUGAUUGUGAUUUUUUACGCAAACAUAAAACAUCAAAACAAAAAAUAUUUCCCAAACAUAUUUUAACUGUUUAAUAGUUUGUGGGUAAUUAUUUACUUUGUUUUGCUAUCUAACAACUGAAUUUGACUCAUAUUUAUGUAAAUUUUAUAGCCUCACCAUUCGCCAUUUUUAUGUUAUGAUCCUUGUAGGUUUGUUAUUUUUAAAUCAUGACCCAUGUGAAACUAAAAUUUUAAUUUCGCCAUCGGUUAUAAGAUUUGGUAAUGAUAAUUAAAUAAUUCAAUAAACUCUGAGAAAACACAAAGAUUUAAGUGGUUUGACAUAUUAAUUAAUAUGUCUACAUUCACAAUGGUGAUACUGAUCAUCCAGUAUGUGAUAAAAAGGUGUACAAAGUUAACAAUAGCCUCUCAAAUGCAAAUAAAACAAAAAGAAACCGAUCUCAACCCUCAAAAUCAAUCAACCCCCAGCAGUUGAGCCUCACAAUAGCUCUCUUAGACUUGUGCUUUCCCUUGUUCAUAUUCUCUUUAGAAAUACAAGACUCACCAACUUAAAAAAAGAGACAGAGAGAGAGAGAGAAUCCAAUACCUAAUUACAAGUUACUGAAAAAAUAUAUAUAAAACAGAGUAAAAAAGCACGCGCCCGUCCUCCAAUUCCUGCUCUGUUACGCCAUUUACGUAAUUCCUUUUUUGGCUGAAAAUAUUGUUUUCCCCAACAAAAUAAAUUAAUCAGUUAGACAAAUAUAUCUAAUUAUAAUGGUUUGGUGACGUAAUUAUACAUAUAAAUAUAAACAAUUGGACAGGCAUCAGCAAAUUAAUGAAGAAGAGUAGAGACCAAAUGAGAAGGAAAGCAUAUGCAAUUACUAACCAGAGUUAAUUUGAUUCCUUUCCCUGUUGGCUCUGUUCACUGUUGGACUAGACGUUUCAUCUCAUGCACUCCCACGUCUGUCUGUUUUCGAUCCGCUCUUAAUUAAUAUUUUGUUAAUUAAUUGGCUGAAAAUGAAAAGUUUCUUUAAUAUUUCAUUAAGCAGAGAGCAAAGGAAUUGACGACACACUUAUAAUAAUUAAUUUCUAAAUUGGAUUAAAAAAAAUAACAACUAAUUAAUUUUUUUAAGUAACAUAGGAGAUCUAGAAAGAAAGAAGUUACCCGUGGCCGGGGGUGAUUGUAAUUGACUAAUUGCAGCCGCGCGCUUUCAGCCAAUGGAGAUUUCGGGAAUGUGGCGGAUCUUAGGCCAGUCCUCUCCUGUCUCCUUUCUGCAACGUUCUUUUAAAACAGGACAUUCCCCCCAAAUCUCCAAUCUCUGGAGCGUUGACUUCUGAAGAAGGUGAUCGGGCAGUGCUUUUAAUUUACGGCAAUUCGUAAUAGUCAAGGAAGAAAGACGUGGCAUGAUUAUGAUUUCUCCCUUUAUUGCAGUCACGAAAUCCCACUCUUCCAGUUCGCUCAUACCCCAAAAUCUGAGCAGUUUCAAUUUGGGAAAGGCAAUAACUGAGGAGCCAUCCGUAUCACUUUCUACUCCCAUAAAUUCAUUACCCACUCUUUUCACACUUUGCAUUCCAAAAAUAAGAAGAGAUUCAAGGGAUGGCAAUCUUCCUAAAGGAGGCAAAUGCUCGCGAUUUCUCCACUCGCGGAUAUCUAAAUCCCUUAAGUUGGUUAAUGACAUGAACCAAUUUAUGGGGACAACAUUCCUCCUCCCUCUGUAUCCAUUUAUCCGUAAUUUCUUUAAAUUAGGAGGUGGUCCCAAGGCUUCAAGAAGCCGUUCAUCUUCAUCCUCCUCAUUCUCCCUCCUCCCAGCUUGAUCAAAAUGAAGUCCCAACUCAACGAGAUAUUUCUUUUUCUCAAGUUCAGCCCUUCUAGCCUCCCCCGCAUCUGACACACCACCCAGCCCACGUAUACUACAUUGUCGACGGAGGUUAAGCGUUUUAAGAGACCCAAGGCUACAUGCUCUGUCAUACCCUCCGCCCACAACAAACUCUCUCACUUCCCGAAGCCUGAUUAAUUCCCCAAUCCCUACCGGCAAGUAUCUUAAAGAUGCAGUCCGCGCAUUGUGUAAAUACAUCAGCUUUCUUAACCUCCCAAUCCCUCGAGGUAAUUCUCUAAGAUUUCGACAAUCAUUAACAUCUAAACGUUCUAAAUUAUACAACUCACACAACGUCUCGGGUAAUUUUUCUAUCUUCUUUUGACCUUUCAAAUUAAGGUAUUUCAAAUGUAUCAAUUUUCCUAUAUUUGUUGGAAUUUCCUUGAUGAAAUGAAAACCCCACCAGCCAUCCGUCUGUAAUGUUAAUGCCCUUAAACAAGUUAGUUUAUCAAAUAAUUGAGGUAGGACUUUGCUAGACCGUGAAUAUUCAUCACCUUCAACCAAGAGGCUACGCAAUUGUCUCAUUCUCUUAACAUUAUUCCAAAUGGCUAUCGGGACUGAAGUCCCCUUGUCUAUAGUUAACCUUAAAUGAAGAACUUUUUUCUGGUCAAAGGAACUCAUAAUUGACUCUUCACCACCAGGAAUUUUCACUGUUAAACAUGCAUUCCUGCAUAUAAAUUGGGUAAGGUCGUGCACUAAAUCGUGCAUUUUGCACUUAUAGACUUUACCAUCACCAUCUGUUUUGAACUCUUGAAAAAAUGAACUACUAGCUAAAAUGUUGAAAUACUCUUCACCUAUGUCCUCCAUCUCUUUGUUUCCUUUCUCAUUAAGGUAACCUUGAGCCAUCCAUAGGUUAAUUAACUCAUGCUUCCAUAUUUCGAAAUCUGUCGGAAAAACAGCACAAUAUGAGAAACAAUGUUUUACCUUAGAGGGCAAUUCAUUGUAACUCAACAACAGAGGGGCCAAUAGACCUCUCUCAAUCCCUUCGUGUUCCCAUAUCUCACUCUUUAAAAUAUUCUGCCAUUCUUCUUCAGUGUUUUUAGACCAUAAAAGACUACCAAUGGUCUUUACAGCUAAAGGUAAGCCCUUGCAUUUUCCUACAAUUUCUCGACCAAUUUUUUCUAAAUUCUCACAUCCCUCCAUGGACUUGCCGAAAAAUGCUAAUGACUCAAAUAUUGACCAGCAUUCCUUUUCAGACAAAAGAUCAAUUGGGAUAAUGUCAGUUGAUUUCAUAAUAUGGGCAGUUGUUUCAUCACGUGUAGUAAUUAAAAUUUUACUUCCGUGGAGACCAUUCUUUAAACAAUUGUAGAAUGGUCCCCAUUUAGAGUAAUCUUUAUUCCACACUCGUCUAAGACAAGAAGAAAUUUCUUGCCUUCAACACAUCCUUGAACAUGUUGCAUGAGAGAUUGAAACUCACAAAAGUUAGGGGCAGAACCUGUUAGAGCCUCAAUGAUUGCUCUGGCGAUUCUGAACACAUCAAACGGGUCUGACACACAGACCCAUAUUAUUUUCUCAAAAUGAUUUUUAACAUCAUCGUUGUUGUAGGCUAAUUGAGCAAGAGUAGUUUUGCCUAUGCCCCCCAUCCCAACAAGUGAGAUGACACAGGGGCCUUUCUGCUCUUCACUACUCUCACAUAACAGCCUAUUAACCAGAUCGUUCUUCUGUGUUUCUCUACCAAAUAUCUCGGACUCAUCAAUUGAGGAGAUACUUGGUACUCGUUGAUCCGCUCUCUCAUUACUCUUAAUAACAUUCACAGCAAAACCAAACAUGUCUUUUUGUUUGGCAAUAUCAUCAAGAGUUUCAUUGAUGUCUUUCAUCUUGAGAGCAAUGCGACGACGUAAAAAAAUUGGUUUGCAGCCAACGCAAGAGGCAGCAGGAAAGAAGGAACAUACCUUCUUCUUAGGAACGAGAGCAUCAUUCUCAUGAUCAUCCACUCCAUCGAUCCGCAGUUUGAGCCUUGCAGUGUUCCACUCACCCAACACAUCUUCCAUGUCGUAACAUGCGUCUCUGAGUUGAUCGAGCCAGAGUCUGACUGUUUCCUCCUUUAUUUGCCUUUUUUCAGCAUCAUUGAGCACAGUUUGAAUGGUUCGGAGUUUGCGGGUCAGCUUCUCCGCUUCCUUUCCGACGCCCGUUACCAGCCUCACUUGUUCCUUUGCCUCAUGGACUGCCAUUGAAGUCAGCUGCUCCAAGAUAGGGGAAAGGAUCGCAUCAACCAUGGUGAAAAAGAAAAAAGAGAGAGAGAAGAAAUUGAUGGUGAAUUGUAGCAAAAGUAAUUAAUGCUGAAAGAAAUGAAGGAGAUGAUAAUGUGGUGAAAAUGUUGCCGUAUUCUUUCAAUUCUUAUAGUGCUGCAAUCAAAAUGGCCAGUGUGGACACGAAAUAUUGUUAGGUCCUACAUCCGCGAUUCACGCGGUAUAUCAACAAGUUGAAGAAAGAGAAAAAAGUUAAAAAGAAUACCUUGACUAUCUUCUUCUUCUUUUUUUUUUUUUUUUUUUUUAAGUUUUUCCUUUUUUAAAUAUGACUCGUUAGUUUGCAUAAUUAAUUCAAAGGAAAGAAUGAAUGUUCGAUUAAACUAUGAACAAGUUUUGCACAGAAUAAUAGUAUAACUCUAACUAUGACCGUGAAGUGUAAAAAAUCAAAUAAUCUUUUUUUUUUUUUUUUGAAGUCUGUUAUGCACAGAUAUUACUGACAUUACAUCAGGCAUUACAAUUAAUAUUUAUAAUUAUACUAUAUAACUGGGACCACCAUCAUACAUUGACACACUGAAGUAUAUGCCCAGAUAUUUUAAACCCUCUCUAAUAUUCGAGGGGUGCCUGCUCCACUCACAUUUCGUAAGGGAGAGACUGUCUCCACUCAAUUAAUUGAUAAUUGAGGAAGAACUGAAACUAACCUCCAUAAUGCUCUUAUGGAGGCUCGAACCCUUGCACUCAACAUUGUAAGUGCAAGGCUUCUCCCAUUGGACCAAAGGCCCAUUGGUUAAAAAAUCAAAUAAUCUUUACUGUUAGUUUUGCAACAACAAUAAAUAACAAAUCGUCAUUAAUUAUUUCUUAUUAUGUAUAAAUUGUCAAUCUAGAGCUGGAUAUUCACAUAUUCUUCUAUUUCUAAUCAUUUUGAAAUUUAACAUAAAUUUUUUAUUUAUUUUAUUUACGGCAUUUAAACAUGUUAUAAGUAAUGGAAUUUUUUCGCCCUAAGGGUAGCCUCUUCCAUAAAUGAUAUGAGAAUGACGGAUUGAUCGUCGUUACAAAACUACCUUACAAUUACAAUAUAUGAACGCUAUCAAAGUCAAAGUCAUGAUAAUUUAGGGACCCAGACAUUUACUUUUCUAAUUAUUCUGUGAUUCUCAUUUCUCAAUUUCAUUAUCACGAUAAUAACUUACAGAUGCUGCAAUAUUGCACGAAGAUUCCUGGAAGUUGCAUGCAGUUCAAAUAAUUUUCAUUUGGACAAAAACCGUCAAGAAUUUUCAAACCCAAAAGAUGAUUAUAAUUUUUUUUUUCCCUAUAACCCACCCAUCAAAAACUUUUUUCAUUUAUUGUGACUUUGCAAUUUCCUUAGAAGAUACUUGGAACUGCCAAUAUCUUCUAAUUAUUGUUUUAAAAAUAAUCUCAGUUGCAUGCCCAAUUAACAAAUCAGUAGUCUCAGUUCGACAUAUUAACAGUCUUAUCAAGUAAUUGUUUUGGACACGAAUUCACAAAUAAUUAAUUAAAGAAAUAUAUUUAGGAAUCAAGCGUGUGGUUGAAAGGGAAAUACAAUAUUGCAGAAUAAUUUAAUAUUUUUUAUCUUAAUAUAAAUAACAAAAUAAUUUUUUUAAAGAAAUAAUGACUACAUGCCCAAGCCCAACCAAUGCAAUAUAGUUUUAAAAAUCUAUAUUUAAAGAAAAAAAAAUAUUGUUUUAAAAAUCUUAAUGACUACAUGCCCAAGCCCAACCAAUCAGUUUGACAUGCUAUAUUUAAAAAGAAAAAAGAAAAAAAAAAGGAUCGACCAACGCAGUAAUUUUGGUAUAAUGACUUUGACGUAAUUAAACAUUAUUAGAAAAUUAAUAAAGAGUAGAGAGCAACGAGAAAGCGUAUUUAAACUAACCGAUUUGAUUAUUAAAUCUCUAGUCUCUAGCACCGUUCCAUUAAUCCUCCGAUCGAUCGCACGGUCCUGUCUUUUUAUGUUUCCUUCUAUGCAUAAUCGAUUCAUUUACUAUAUGAAAUUAAUCAAUUUGAAUAUAUAUUUAUUAAUCUUGAAUAUUUAGUAAUUUUGUUUGCUUUCCAGAGUAUGAUAUCUUUAACGCGUGGCUUUGGACAUAUAUAGCUAUUAUAAACUUGAUCAGUUUAAUAAAUAUAAUGCAAUCUAUGAUAUGAUAUAAAUAUUUAAUUAUUCUCUUGGAGAUAAGUCAAUUAACUAAAAUUUAAAAAAAGUAUGUAAAGAUAAUAUUUUAUUAUGUAAUAAUAUUAGGAUCAUAAAGUGCGUUUCGGUACUGUUUUUGUUUUGUUAUUUUGUUUUUUAAGAAUGAAGCAAUCUAAAAUUUGUUUGGUUCACUUGUUUUUAACUAGUAUUUAAUUCUAAUAUAGAAUGAUUUGUUUUAAUUUUUCAACAAAGAAAAAUGAAAAAUAGGAAAAUGGUGUUUUUUAAUUUUUAUUCUUCAAAUAGGUCCCACAACCAUAAUCCUACUAGCACAAUUAGAAAAUUAAAAACCUUUCACUUAUUAUAUGAGUCCUUUACCAUCGCAAGAUGUGUNNNNNNNNNNNNNNNNNNNNNNNNNNNNNNNNNNNNNNNNNNNNNNNNNNNNNNNNNNNNNNNNNNNNNNNNNNNNNNNNNNNNNNNNNNNNNNNNNNNNNNNNNNNNNNNNNNNNNNNNNNNNNNNNNNNNNNNNNNNNNNNNNNNNNNNNNNNNNNNNNNNNNNNNNNNNNNNNNNNNNNNNNNNNNNNNNNNNNNNNNNNNNNNNNNNNNNNNNNNNNNNNNNNNNNNNNNNNNNNNNNNNNNNNNNNNNNNNNNNNNNNNNNNNNNNNNNNNNNNNNNNNNNNNNNNNNNNNNNNNNNNNNNNNNNNNNNNNNNNNNNNNNNNNNNNNNNNNNNNNNNNNNNNNNNNNNNNNNNNNNNNNNNNNNNNNNNNNNNNNNNNNNNNNNNNNNNNNNNNNNNNNNNNNNNNNNNNNNNNNNNNNNNNNNNNNNNNNNNNNNNNNNNNNNNNNNNNNNNNNNNNNNNNNNNNNNNNNNNNNNNNNNNNNNNNNNNNNNNNNNNNNNNNNNNNNNNNNNNNNNNNNNNNNNNNNNNNNNNNNNNNNNNNNNNNNNNNNNNNNNNNNNNNNNNNNNNNNNNNNNNNNNNNNNNNNNNNNNNNNNNNNNNNNNNNNNNNNNNNNNNNNNNNNNNNNNNNNNNNNNNNNNNNNNNNNNNNNNNNNNNNNNNNNNNNNNNNNNNNNNNNNNNNNNNNNNNNNNNNNNNNNNNNNNNNNNNNNNNNNNNNNNNNNNNNNNNNNNNNNNNNNNNNNNNNNNNNNNNNNNNNNNNNNNNNNNNNNNNNNNNNNNNNNNNNNNNNNNNNNNNNNNNNNNNNNNNNNNNNNNNNNNNNNNNNNNNNNNNNNNNNNNNNNNNNNNNNNNNNNNNAAAUAAAUAAACAUAUAUAAUGAUUUAAAAAAUUAGUUUGUUAAAACUUUUUCAUUAUAAUUUUUUUUUUACUCUGAAUCAAUGUCUUCACUUUUUACACAAACAAUUAAAUACUUUUUGACUUUUUCAUUUUCAAACACUAUGUUAAAAACAACCCACCAAUGUAUUUUUAUUUUUAAUUUAUAAAAAUAAAAGUAAAAAUAUCAUGUGAAAAACGAUACAAAACACACCCUUAGUACUUGAGUUUUAACCUAAAUCAAAAUAUUAUGUGUCACUCAUUUAUUAAAUGAUAAAUAUAAAUUAUUAUACUUUAUUAUCUAAUUUAAUUUAAUUAAUUAAUUUUUUUUAUUUUUACUUUCUCAGAAUUCUUACGUAAAUAAUUAAUUAAAGAAAUAUAUUUGAAAAUGAUUGUGCGAGACAGCACAUGCCCACCGGGGGCCUUAUCCCAGUUGAGGCUUUGUGUCAUUGCCAUGUCUUUUCAAUUCACAUACAUAUAAUGGAAAACAUUGGUAGCCAAUUAAGGGAUGAACUAUACUACUCUACCAAGUAAAUAUGACUCGUUUGCAUAACUUAUUGAAAAGAAAGAAUGAACGUACAAUUAAACUACGAACAAAUUGGCACAGAAUAUUCUAAGAUUCAUGUUGAAUCACCUCAUUUAAAUUUUGUCAUAUUAGUACACUUCUGAUAGCGGAAAUUUAGAGUUUAAUAUCUUAACUUUGAUUGUGAAGGGUGGAAAAUUAAAUAAUUUUUCUACUAUUUUUUCAACAAUAAUAAAUAACAAUUCAUCAUCAAUUAUUUCUUAUUACGUAUAAAUUCAUCAAUAUAUUCACAUAUUCUUCUAUUUCUAAUCAUUUCAAAAUUUAAUAUAAAUUUUGAGAAAAAAUCAAUUUGCAAUAAAGUGUCAUAAAUAAAAAAAUGAAAAUAGAAAGUCAAAAUUGUAAUGCGGAAAAAAAUUGUAAUGUGGAAAAAAAGAAAACUUUCUAUUUGUUUCAUUCGUGGCAUUUAAAUAUGAGGAUGACAGGUUGAUUGUUAUUGAGAAACUACGUUACAAUUGCAAUAUGUGAACACUAUCAAAAUCAAAGGUAUAAUAAUUCAUGGACCCAUGCAUCUGUAUUUUUAAUUAUUCCGCGUAGAAGGCUAAAGUUUUCCGAUUAAUUCUCAAAUUCAUUGUCAAAAGUGAUUUGAACAUUUCAAUGAACAACACUUAAUUUUCUUUUUGACAGAGCACAACAUUAACUUGAAGAUUCCUGGAAGUUGCUUGCAGUUCAAAUCUUUUUCAUUUGGACAAAAACCAUCAAUAAUUUUCAAACUUAGAAGGUACUUAUUUUUUUCGCCAUAACCCACCCAUCAAAAUUUUUUUUCAUUUAGUGUAACUUUGUAAUUUUCUUAGAUGAUAGCUAGAACUCCCAAUAUCUUCUGAUUAUUGUUUUAAAAAUCUCAGAUGCAUGCCCAAUUAACAAAUCAGUAGUCUCAGUUCGACAAAUUAAAAACCAAAAAAAAAAAAAAAUCACACAGAGACAGUUGUUUGAUGACUUUGUAAUUGAAAAUCAGGAAAUGAAGAGAAAAAGUAACACACUUAUGACCAUCAUUGCAGAGAUAUCAUAGAUGUUAGUAUUAGUGGCAAUUAAUUAAUAAGUAGUCUUACCAAUUAAUGGUGUGUUUACUUCAUGGAAUAUGAAAUGAGAAUGAAACCCAUGUCUACUUGGCAAAAUGUAAUUUGGGAAUGAGAAUAAAAUGUGUGGGUCCCACACAAUUUGGGAAUAAGGAAUGAGAAUUCCAUUCCCAUGGGGGGUUGGGAAUGAAAAUGAGGGAAUGAGAAUGAAAUAUACGUUUACUUUUGUAUUCCUCUAUUUUUUUUCAUAUUUCCCAAAUUACCCUCAUUCAAAUCACAAUUAAUUUUAUUAUUUUAAAUGUCAUUAAUAAUAAUAAUAAUUAUUAUAAUAUUAUUAAUAAUAAUUAUUAUUAUUAAAUUUUAUUAACUUUAUUAUUUUAGUUAUUAUUAUUUUUAUUAUUAUUAUUAAUAUUAUUAUUAUUAUUAUUAUUAUUAUUAUUAUUAUCAUUAUUAUUAAUAUUAUCAUUAUUAACAAUAAAAAUAAUGAUAAAAAUAAUAAUUAAUAAAAAUAAUUAAUUUAUCAUUAUUAACAAUAUUAUCAUUAUUGUUGUUGUUAUUAUUAUUAUUAUAUUAUUAAUAAAAAUAAUAAUAACAAUAAUUAAUAAUAACUAAAAUAAUAAAGUUAAUAAAAUUUAAUAGUAAUAAUAAUGUAAUUUUCAUUAUCUAGAUACAUGUAUAAAUAUUAUUAUAAAAAUGAUAUUAAUUAAAUAAUAAUAAUAAUAAAUGUUAAUAAUGAUAAUAUUAAUAAAAAUAAUAAUAACAACAAUUAAUAAUAAUUAAAAUAAUAAAGUUAAUAAAAUUUAAUAGUAAUAAUAAUGUAAUUUUCAUUAUCUAGAUACAUGUAUAAAUAUUAUUAUAAAAAUGAUAUUAAUUAAAUAAUAAUAAUAAUAAAUGUUAAUAAUGAUAAUAUUAAUAAAAAUAAUAAUAACAAUAAUUAAUAGUAACUAAAAUAAUAAAGUUAAUAAAAUUUAAUAAUAAUAAUAAAUGUUAAUAAUGAUAAUAUUAAUAAAAAUAAUAUUAACAGUAAUUAAUAAUAACUAAAAUAAUAAAGUUAAUAAAAUAUAAUAAUAAUAUUAUUAAUAAUAAUAAAUGUUAAUAAUGAUAAUAUUAAUAAAAAUAAAAAUAACAAUAAUUAAUAAUAACUCAAAUAAUAAAGUUAAUAAAAUUUAAUAAUAAUAACAAAUGUUAAUAAUGAUAAUAUUAAUAAAAAUAAUAAUAACAAUAAUUAAUAACAACUAAAAUGAUAAAGUUAAUAAAAUUUAAUAAUAAUAAUAAUAAUAAAUGUUAAUAAUGAUAAUAUUAAUAAAAAUAAUAUUAACAAUAAUUAAUAAUAACUAAAAUAAUAAAGUUAAUAAAAUUUAAUAUUAUUAUUAUUUUAGUUAUUAUUAAUUAUUGUUAAUAUUAUUUUUAAUAAUAAUAAUAAGAACAACGACAACAAUAAUGAUAAUAUUAUUAAUAAUGAUAAAUUAAUUAUUUUUAUUAAUUAUUAAUACUAUAAUUAUUUUGGUAAAUUGAUUCUCAUUCCCAUUCCUCAUUCCUAUUUAUUUUGCCAAGUAAACACAUCAAUGACAUUUCAGCACAUUCCCAUUCCCAUUUGUUUUUGCCAAGUAAACAUUGAAAUCUCAUUCUCAUUUCUCAUUCCCAUUUCAACCCAUUCUCAUUCUCAGUCCAUUCUCAUUCCACCACAUUCCUAUUCCCAUGAAGUAAACGCACCAUAAUUGUUUUGCACUCGCAUUCAGGAGCUCUGCCCCGCCCUUAUGUAAUUCCUCUGCACAAAAUUAUUUUUCAGAAAAUCUUAGUAGCAUGCCCUACAAAUCAAUCACAUAAUGAUUUGAUGAAAUUCUAAUUGAACAUCAACAAAUGAAGAUGAGAGGGCAACUUCUAAAUCACAUAAUGGUUUAAUACAAAAUCUAUUAAAGAUCUGAAUUUUCAAACAUUCGAAGAACAUUUCUAAGUAAAUGUUCCUAAGACCUCUACAUUAUGUCAUCGUUCUACCAAAUUGCUAAAUUUGAUAACAACCAAUUAUCUAAGGCAACUGUCUAUUUCUCCGUGUGCGCGCGCAUGCAUGUGUGCGCGCGUACGCACGUGUGUGUGUGAGCGUGUGCAUGUAUGUGUGUGGGGUGUGUGUGUGUCUAUAUAUGUUUCAAUAUAAGAUUCUAAAUUUUGUUAAAGUCCAAAAAAGUUAUUAAACCGUAUGACUUAAUAGUGUAAUGCUACUAUACUAUUAAAUAGAACAGUUUAAUAGUUUUUUUGGACUUUAAUGAAGUCUAGAAUCUUAAAUCGAAUCAACUCUCUCUCUCUCUCUCUCUCUCUCUCUCUAUAUAUAUAUAUAUAUAUAUAUAUAUAUAUAUAUAUAUAUAUUAUGUAUAUAUAUAAUGAUGAAAUGGCUGCUUUGUGUUUACUUCGUUUAGAUAUAAAUAUACAAAUAAUUGGUUAUCAUUAAAUAGUUAUUUUAACCUCGAAAUUUCUUGAAGACGAAAUGAAAGCAACUACAUGAGAAAGUUUCCCAACCGUACUUACAUUAUCUGUGUGUGUAUGCUUAAUUUUAGGGGCCGCCUUUACUUCCUACAAGUAAAAUUUGCCAUAUGGGUUUAUUAAUUAAUUUCCAUUUUUAAUGUUACUUAACUACUAGACUUAAAUGUUAAAUUAUUAAGUAAUUAGACACCUUAUAUGUGUCAUGUAAACCCAACAUGUGUCUACAUAUACAUACACAUACCUUGUCCCACCCACCCUCCCUCAAAUUUUAAAUUAAUUUUGAUAUCCUAUAUCAUAUCCAUUGAUAUUAUAAUCAUCUCUAAGUUAAACGUGAUAAUUAUUUUAUAAUUAGAAUAUAAAAAAAAAAUUAAAAGUACAAGUUUGUCCUCCAUGUUUCUCUAAUUUGAAUACUAAGAAUAUAUAAUUUGUAUAUGAAUCAAGUUGUUUGAUCUUGUCUUCUUUUUCAAUUAUUUAAAGUUUAAACACUGGACAUUGAUAUAAUAUUUUUGGCAUUUUUUGGAAGCAGCGGAAUAGCUAGGGCAACCAUCUAAUCUGUUAAUUUGCACUAAUACUUUUUCUGAAUAAAAAAAUUGAAUGUUGAUGUGGGUGCUUAUUUAUCAGUAGCUUCCGCUUCAAUUACUACCUACAAAUAAUUGAGUAUCAUUGAGUUAUUUGACAGCGCUGUAAUUUUUUUAAUCAUAAUUUAAAGUUGGUUUUUGAAGGCUAAUGAUUUGAUUGGGAUUGAUAGAAUAGAAUCACAAAUUCACAAUUCUAAUUUCCUAUACCAACUUUGAUAUUAUAAUCAUUUUUUUCUAAUUUCUUACCAACACAUCUUUCUUUCUUUCUUUCUUCAUUUUUGGGAAGCACCAAUACAUCUUUAGGACAUUGAUUCUUUGAAAAAAAGAAAAAAAAAGGAAAAAUGUGAUUGAUUGUGUUACCACGAACUUUGUCGUAGACGUAAGAGGAGAACGACACAACCUUUACUUACAUUAACGAACGACAAGGCGGCUUCUGUUGAAGAAAUAAAAUGCCUUCGAUUAAUCCAACGAGUUAAAUGUUACUCAAGUCCAAAUUAGCUUAAUACAUACAAAUCCCCACAAUGUUAGUAAAUAUUAUCAAAUCCCUUCCUUCACAACAACCGUUCCCAUAUUGUUAUUUAUUUAUUUAUUUUUUUUAUUUUUUUUAAUGUGAAUUGUGUGUUUGUUUGUUUAUUACAGCCAAGGUGGUGAACAGAAUGUUGGGACUGCUUCAGCUUCAGCUUCUUCGUUACAGUCUAUUCAGAACCGUAAUGCAAUUCUUGUCAGUCAAAGACAGGUGAGGUUGUUUAUUUGUUUAUUUAAUUUGCAUAAAAGAUCUAAUUUUGUUGUUCCCUUGUGUUUCUUGAGCAUAUUCAAAGAAAGGCUAGUUAAAAAUGAAAACUUGAGUUCCAAUCUAGCUUAUUGGCCAUGUGCACAUGAAAUAUUUUUCCCAGGUAGCUUGGAGUUUUUUAGAGUUUGGAGUGAACUGUUGGGAAAAUAUGCUCUUUAAAAGCAUAUGUGUUUAUUUAAUUGUAAUAAACAAUUUUUCUGAUUAAUAAAAUAAAUGAGGUAUUUUAUUUAAAUAUCUUAAUUGCAUUAAUAUUUGUAUUAAAAUCCAUUUAAUCAUAUUAUAUGUAUUUAUGUGAUCACCAUGUGGAUUCACAGAAGACAUAAAUACAAGUUAUCUUAUGAUUAAAUAAAUUUAGUUCGCAGUUGAUAAAUAAAGUUGGGCACUUUAUUUAGGUAUAGACUGUAAUAAAUUCAUUGAAUGAUUUGUCUUAAUCAUGUAUGAAUUUAUUGAUGUAGUACGACUACAUUGAACAGGAUCACAUAUGAGAUUUAAUUAACUUUGUAAUAACUGUCAGACUUAUUAAAUCUCAUAGGCGUUGAUUUUACUGUAAUCUUAAUCUUGAGUUAAUUAUGAUUUCAUGAUUGUAAUUGUUAUUCCAUUUGAGUUACCAAUGGGCACGACACAUCCUUGUGGUCAAGAUUACCCGGUAUCUUGAUGGGAGCAAUUAUGAGUAUUGGAGUUAUGGAUUAACAAUAUAGAAUUUGUACAACACAUCUCUUGAUGGGUUUUCGGCACUUGAUCAUAGAAUUCUCUAGCCAGAGUGUGUCAACAUAUUUAGUAUGUUGAAAAUGAUCAUUAGAGAAAACCAGUAAGGAUCAAGGAAUAAGAUGUUAUUAAAUUGAUUGGACAGUUGAGAUAUCAAUUUAAUUAACGAUGUGGUACAAAGGAUUGUGCAGUAAAGAAAUCAAUGUGGCUUGGGACGAAUUAUUAUUCGAGCAUACAAUUAUGGAAGUCAGUUCCAAUCUUUUAGUGGAGUAGAUUUGGAAUUAAAUAAUUGGGCUAGUUUAAUUACAGGCCUAAUUAUUGUAGCCACUAUUGUAUGUUUCCAAAUGAUCCCCGGGUUAGCUCAUUUAAUUGACUGCACCACUACUGGACUAAUAAGUAAGAUAACUAGCUAUUUGGGUCAAAAGCCUAAAUAUAUCAUUUAGUGGGAGGCUCCAUUUAAUUAGCUUUUGUAUAAGGGGCCUUAUGUUAUUUUACAAGGUGGGUCCCCUAUUGAAAAAGAAAAUAACGUGAGUUUUAUUUAGGGCAUUAUUUGGAGCCUAGAGUUUUCACUACAGGGAGAUAUAUAAGGCUUAUUUUCUCAAAAGAAAAAGAUGAAGUCACUUUAUACAGAUUAGAGAAAAAGAUUUUUCUCUCUAUUGUUGAGAGAAAAAUUUUCUCGUGUUAGUUGCUUUGGUAGUGAUAAAGGCGCCCACACGUCAAGUGCAGAUCGAACCUGAGUCAUAACCUGGAAGAUCAUUGGAGACUGUUCGUGAUCUAACAAGCGUGGUGGUGACAGAUCGUGAUCUAACAGGAGUGGUGGUGGCGGAUCGUGAUCUAGGAGCCUAAAUCACUUCAGCGGAAAAAGCCAACUCGGAUUUUCAAGGUACGAUUUCUAGAAUACAAAUUCUUAUAUAUUAUAUGAGAGCGAUCUUCAAAAGGUUUUAUAAAAAAUUUAAAAACCUGAAUUUUUCCCCAACGUGAACCCCUCUAUUUAUGUAGCUUGUAGAAUUUUUACGACUUUUUUCUAGCGUUGUGUAAAAUCUUGGAAUCUAUGGUGCACUAUCGUUUGCUUUUACAUUUUUUUUCUCGUCAGAAUGUAAGCUUCUUAGGAGUUAUGUUUGUGUUCCAGUGAACUUUCUAGUUAGUAGUGGUUCGGAUUGAAUAAAUUUUGAUUUGCAAAAAAUUAGCUCAAGUGCGAAAGUUCUUUUCUCCUUAUGCAGAAGGGAAAUCCGUUGCUUAAGCAUAUAACAUAUGUGAGAUGGGCUUUUGCGGAUGUUGUUUGUGACUACUUGCUUGGGCAGAACUCAUGUGCUCUUUAUCUAAGGCUUGAACUUCUAAACAAUGUCUUACUUGUCAUUCUGUGUAAACAUGAUGAAAAUGUUUUUGUGCUACAUAUUUGACAUCCAAUAGUUAAACCGCUGAUAAAGAUAACCUGCCUUGUAGUCGGCCUGUUUCCGCUGGUAUUAUGAAUCGGCAAAGUUUUUAGGUAUUGGUUAAUUGUUGAAGUAAAAUAAUUGACAAUCCGUCCAAAUUGAUGGUUUUGCUAAGCGAAAUCCAGUUUUGAUCGUACUUGUAUGCUUAAAAAGAUUGAUAUUUAGUCUUGCUUGCACAGCUGCACUUCAGUUUAUAAUACUUUCUAUCGUGUGAUAUAUAUCUUUUUAUGCUGCAUUAUCGUUGUUCAUUGGAAUUAAUACGUAAAGGAUGGUAUCUCUGCUGUGGCAUAACUCAUCUAGCAAUUUAUGCAUAAAAUAAUCUGUUCGGCUUGUGUUAAACAUCUUGUUGAUAUCUGUGUCAAUUGCAAUUGAAAUAUGCUCUUAUGCACCAAAAUUCAUCAAAUUAAUUGCUUGUUACAGUCUUCGGUAUCAUCUGCUGCAUUAUAUCUAAGAUAUUGUUUGUCCAAUUAGGACUUCAACACUGCUGUCACUGUUUGAUACUGUUUACUUCUUUGCUAUGAUGGCAAUGUAGUUAGAUUGUGUAUAUACUUUCUAAAUCUUCUGUUUGACAAUGUGCUAUUGUGGGUUUUUAGCACUUUUGGGACUUCUUCUUGUUUAGAAAGUUGGAGUAAUUUUUCUCAAGUGACUUGAUAAUGAUAAAAAUUAAGAAACAUGUUUAUUGGGGUUGGACUGGCCUAAAUAUGCUUUUUCUUAGACUAAAAUUUCAAAAUUGUUUGUUUCUAGCUAGGAGGAAUGUGGUCGCUACCUUGAGACUAUAAAAGUCUAUGAGAACAAGCCAGCAGACCUUACCCAAGGCCAAAUGGAUACCGACUAUUUAUCACGGGUAUCGUAACUUUUGAGGUUUCUCACACUCAAUAAAUUUAUGUUAACAUUGGCAAAGAUCAGAUCUUCAAGAACAAAUAGCUAGCGCAUUACUAAUUCCUAGCUUUUUGUAGUGAUUAAUCUUACACUCUGCUUCUUUUGAUGUAGCUAACCCAUGCUCUCACAUCUGUUCGGAGUGUUAAUAAGACUGAUGUUGUCAACCUAGGGUCUACAUUUGGGGUAUGCUUCCUUGCUUUAUUCAUAAGUCCAUGUGCUUGGGGGUUGUAUUGAAAGUAUAUGUUCCUAUGGGCCUAAUUGACAUGUGAUUGGCAGUCUCUUUCGCAUAUCAUGGAUGCAUCAAUGGAAGGAAGACCUGUCUCAUUGCCCUGGCAUAGGAGAGCGCAAGGUAUUCUGUUCAUCUCCAAAGAGAGACGUGUCAUUUGAUGGAAUUUUGUCCUUCUAUUGUGUGAUGCACUUCUGUAUGCUAUCAUUGGAGUGAUUGCUAAUAAAUUUAUGGCAAUUCUUGGGGUGCUAAAUAAAGGGUUCCAUAUUGUUAAACCUACUUUUUCAUUAUGUUCCGAGAU
rnacentral:lncRNA from 1 species